CGGUGUGAAGAAAGCUUCCUAGAGCUAAAGCAAAAGUUGACUAGCGCCCUAGUGUUGGUGAUUCCUGAUACUGGUAAACCCUUUGAGGUUUACUGUGAUGCUUCCCAUCAGGGGUUGGGAUGUGUUCUGAUGCAAGAACGGAGAGUAGUGGCAUACGCCUCACGACAGUUGAAGAAUCAUGAGAAGAACUACCCCACACAUGACUUGGAGUUAGCAGUAGUGGUGUUUGCACUGAAGAUCUGGAGACACUAUCUAUAUGGUGCACAAUUCCAGGUUUUUAGUGACCAUAAGAGUCUGAGAUACGUGUUUGACCAGAAAGAGUUAAACAUGAGACAGAGACGAUGGAUGAAGUUCUUGAAAGAUUUUGAUUUCGAGUUGUUGUACCACCCGGGGAAGGCGAAUGUGGUGGCUGACGCCUUAAGCAGAAAGGCAGUUCACGCAUCUCAUAUGAUGGUCAGGGAGUUAGACUUGGUGGAGCAGUUCAGAGAUAUGCGGUUACAAGUGGUUUUAGAUGAGGGAGUCAUUAGAUGUAACCAUCUCACGGUGCCUAAUGAUUUCCUUACAUUGAUAAAGGAGAAACAGCCAUCGGACCCAAGCUACAAAGGACGGUAGAGUUGCUUGGCACUGAGAAGGCCAAGGAUUUCAUGAUGGGAGGUGAUAGGGUGCUGAAAAGUAUGAUUCUUGAGGAAGGACACAAGAGCCGUUUUAGCAUGCACCCAGGCAUGACUAAAAUGUAUCAUGAUCUAAAGGAAUCAUUCUGGUGGUCGGGCAUGAAGCAAGAUGUUGCUCGGUAUAUGUCAUCAUGUUUAACCUGUUAGAAGGCUAAGGCAGAGCAUCAGAGACUGGGAGGGAUGCUUCAGCAGCUUGAGAUACCCGAGUGGAAAUGGGAUAGCAUUGUUAUGGACUUUGUCACCCAUUUACCCGGACCGUGAGGAAUCACGAUGUUAUAUGGGUUAUAGUAGACCAUCUCACCAAGAGUGCCCACUUCCUAGCAGUAAACUUGAGGAUGUCCAUGGCGAAGCUGGCACAGUUGUAUAUCAGUGAGAUCGUGAGGUUGCAUGGUGUGCCGUCGAGUAUAGUCUCCGAUAGAGACCCACGAUUCACCUUUCGCUUCUAGCAGACGCUAUAGGAUGCUAUGGGUAGCAGGUUGGCUAUGAGCUCCGCUUAUCACCCUCAGACUGAUGGGCAGUCCGAGAGAAUCAUCCAGUCUCUUGAGGAUCUCUUACGGACAUGCGUGCUGGACCAUUUGGGUGCGUGGGAUGAGGUCCUGCCUUUGGUGGAGUUUACAUAUAAUAACAGCUUCCAUACCAGCAUUGGCAUGGCACCUUAUGAGGCCCUCUAUGGCAGGAGAUGCAGAACGCCUUUGUGCUGGUACCAGGACGGGGAAUCAGUGGUGGUGGGACCAAAGCUUCUGAGGCAGACUACUGAGAAAGUCAAGCUCAUACAAGAAAGAAUGAAAGCAUCUCAGAGCAGACAGAAACCCUAUGCUGAUCAGAGGAGAAGACCCUUGGAGUUUGAAUCGGGGGAUCAUGUCUUCUUGAAAAUUACCCCGACCACUGGUAUGGGAAGGGCAAUUCGCCAGAAGAAGUUGUCUCCUAAGUUCGUUGGUCCAUACCAGAUUCUGAGAAGAUUUGGACCAGUGGCGUAUGAGAUCGCCCUACCUCCUCCCUUAGCCAACAUCCACUAAGUGUUUCAUGUCUCACAGCUCCGGAAGUAUGUGCCUGACCCUUCUCAUGUGCUUGAGAUGGAAGAUUUGUAGAUUAGGGGAGAUCUCACAGUGUAGGUUCAACCCGUUGGUUUACGAGAUGUUCAGAUGAGGCAGCUCAGAGGGAAGUCCAUCAGACUAGUCCAGGUCAUUUGGGACAAGAGGACAGGUGAUUCCACUUGGGAAUUAGAAAAAGACGUGAGAAAGUCAUAUCCACACUUGUUCUCUGGUUCUGGAGAAGUAACCACGCCUGAGCCUCCUGCUGCCUCCACUCUUAGCCUCCCUUCUUCUAGGUUAAGCUAAGGAAUUCUGCUCCUCCUCUCUUAAGUUGCCUUCACUCAAGUAUUCACCCAAAAAUAGAUAUAGGUGCAGGUGAGGAUACACCACUCUUGGACAGGAGUUGAGUGGGUUCCGGGACGUCUCCAGUAGUAGUUGUCAUCUGUUAUUCCUCUUAGAUGCUUAGGGUGUUUUGUAACCCUUUUGUUUAGUAAAGGCUGUAUGUAUAGACAAUAUAUGUAUAGUUAUUUUGAGGAUGACUGUAUCGUUACCUAUACUGGCCUAUU